rnacentral:lncRNA from 1 species
UCUGUUUCUCAAAAAAAUGAGGUGUUCCUCUGUGUCCUCUGAACUUUCAUUGUAAACCAAGAUUUCCUAUGGUUUUGGACUAGUGAUGGUCUGGGAAGUUUAAACCAAAUUAAAUGGAGGAAUUAUCGAAUACCAUAAAAGGGAUUCGAAGUGAAUAAGCUUACAUGCGUCAAAAUGGUCUUUGAUUUUUUUUCUUCUUUUGAGGUUUGGAAGUUGUUGGAG